GCGAAGUAAGCACUUUUCCACAUCAUUACAUCAGUUGACAUCGGAGCCAAGAUGGCUUUACGAGUUGUCAGUAUAUUUCAAGGCGGAACUUGAAAUGUUUGAAAAAUUCGAUGUUCUAGUUUAUUGAGUACAAAAAUAAUAUUUAUACAUUAUAUAUAUAUAUAUAUAUAUAUAUAUAUAUAUAUAUAUAUAUAUAUAUAUAUAUAUAUAUAUAUAUAUAAUACAUUUACUGAGUAUGGAUUUUCAGUUCUCUGGUUUUUAGUUCUUUUAAUAUUGGCAACGCUAGUCGCUAAUCACUAAUGUCAUUGAUAGACCAAUAACAAAUAGACGCCAUUAAAUUUAUUUGUUUGGAGAUUUUAAAUUUAUUGUAUCUAAAAAAUUGUAAAUAAUGGGAGAUAAGCCACAAAAAAAUCCAGGAAUUAGAUUGCGUAGGGCCGCAAGUGAUUGGACACAUAACAGAACUACUGGGACCAUAAGAAAUGACUUCAGAAGAAAUUUUCUCACUAGACUGAAAGGCAAUAGAAGCAGGAGUGUGGACAGAUUCAGAUUACUAGUUGAUAAUUAUGGAGAGCUUAUUUCCUACAGAUCAGUAAGUGAUCUGAGAGCAGUUUUGGCAGAAGAUCCGGAAGCCUCCAGGCUUAUGAAUGAUACUGAGGUAACUGAAGUACUUAAUGAAAUUGAACGUGAAUUAGCUCAUGUUGAUCUAGAGGAUCAAGGAGAAAAUCAUAUAAGUGAAACUGAAAGAGAAACCCAUGAUAUUCUCCAAAGACAUUUAUAUGUUUGUAAUCUAUGUAAGAAUCCAACUCCUGAUGGGGCUAUUUGUAAAACCUGUACUGACGCCCUUGAGCAGGAAUUCAAAAAUUAAUACAUUUACAGUUGUUUCAGAAUAUGUUAUUUAAAUUAUUUAUUAAUGUUUUUCAUAGUCAAAUUUGCCCAUUAACUCUCUAACUUGAGAUGUAGACAUAAUUAAAUCUUAUUUUGAAGUCUGAAACAAUUUAAAAUCCUUUAAAUCAACUAUGAUUUUCAAAGAAGGUACUCUAGUCAAACAUUAUGCUACUCAAUACAUAUUAUUUGUGUAAAUGUACAUAAUGUAUAAUAAUAGACCAUAUAUGCAAAAGACUGACCAUAUUUUUGUUAUUAUUGGGUGAAUAAUAAAAUUUAGGUUCUGAAAUUCUGAGAAUGAAAAAUCACUUCCACAAUUAUUUAUAGAAAUAAGGAUGUAUUUUUCAUAUUUACAUUGAAAUUUCUGGAACUGUAUAUUCAAACUGCCACUAGGCUGACUCUCACAAUUACACAAACUGAUGCUAUAAUCAAUUUACUAUCUUCAGAGACUUGUAGCACAUAUUCAGACUUUAAAAACGAUAACUUCGUUAUGAAAACAAUCGGUAGACUGUGUAAUUGUGAAUGCUGGUGUAGCUGACUAGAUUUUCUUGAUGCGCGGUAAUUUUUAAUGUUUCAAUCUAUGUGUUUUAAUCUUUAAAUCUGAUUAUCAAUCUAUUUUUUGUGGAUUUCCUCUAGAUCUAAAUUCUAUUAGUCAUUAAAAAGUAUUUGUUAUGCCCUUGAAUGUAGACAUAAUUUUUACAAAUCCUUAGAAUCUCAAAGUAAUAGAUAUUUUUGUAUGUUUGAAUAUUAUGAAAUAUCAGAAUUUCAGAAUAUAAGUGAUAAAUUGGAUCACUAUUAAUAUUUGUUAAAAAUAGUUGUUUAGAUAAAAAAAAUAAAAUGUAUUUAAUGUCUGUAUGAAUAUUUGUUAUAUGUAGAACUUACAGAAAAAAUUAAUUGCAUAAGAUAUUAAUUCUUCAAAUUCAGAUAUCUAUAGCAAAUUAUAAAUAAUAAUUGAUUGGUUUCAGUAUUCUCAUUUUAUAUUUAAUUUAAAUUAUAUGUGAUAAUCAAUACAAAAUAAAGUUUUUUUAAGUAUGUGCUAUUAUGAAUUAGUUGUUUAUGGUGUAAGAAAUUAAUAGCAAAACUUGCAAACUGGUUAAAUAUUUUAUGUAUGUGUGUAUGUAAGUUGAAAUUUUUGAACCGUUGGUGAUAUUCAUACGAACACACUAUUUAGACUACAGCUACACCAACACUCACAAUUACUAGUAAACUGUACCUUCAGUCUCUAAAUAUGAUAACUUGGUUAUAGAAAUGCGCGCCAAACAGUGUAAUUGUGAGUGUUUGUGUAGUGGUAAGCAAAACAAAGAAAAUGCCAGACAUCUUCCAUCUCUAUUACAAUCGCUCGCAAGUGUCUUUCAUCUCGAUUGUAUAUUUGUGUCACAAAUGAUUAAACAUUGAGUAUGCAUCAGCCUAUAAUAUUGAUUUGGCAUUACUUAUUUUUGCUAAUCUACUUAAUGGUGCAGGUCAUACAAAAGCUACUUUUUUGGAAAUAUUUGUUUGGUAUCCAAUCAAAUUAUAAUAAACAUUGAUAUAUAACUAAUUCACAAUUUGCUUUUGAAGAAUAAGUAAUUUUAAUAUAAAAGCAUGAAUUUUAAUAUGAUACACUUUUAUUAAAGGGAUUGUCUAAAUUAAUAAAAACUAUUGAUGUAGCAAAAACUCUAUUUAUAAAUUAAUAAUAAAUCAAUAUAUAAAUCGACUUAUUACUAAAAUAACUGAAUUAUGGAUCCACAAAUUGUAUGUAAUUGAUAAACUUGUGAAUUUCAAAAUUUAUUGAUAACCAAAUUCCUUUAUAAUAAUUUCUAACAACUCUAAAUACAUUGGUGGAUUCUUAUUCAAGAGAACCUUAAACAACUCUACUAAAUAUUGUGAAAAGGAAGUUAGCUUCGAAAAUCAAUUUGUUAUACUGAAAAUUAUAUUUUAAAAUACAAUUUUCUGUUAGCAACACUCCAAUUGUCCUAAUAACUCCAAAGGUUAGAAUCAUGUGUUUAUUUAUAUGAAUUAUUGAAAUAAAAAUCAAUCAAGUUUUAAAUGGUGAAAAUUAUAGAAAUAUUCAAAAUCUGAUCUGAUUCUCAAAAACGAGAUAAUUGAAUACCUAAUGCAUACUUAAAUCAUGAGAAACCAGAAUUUUUAGUAAAUAAAAUCAAUGCAUCAGCUGAACAUUUUUGCAUAAUUAAAUACAAAGCAAAUAUUAACCUAAUAACUAUCAAUUUCUCAAAUUUCAGAUCUUGCCAUAUUCUAUACUGUUCUUAUCGGACAUGCAAUUAUUGAUCAUAUAUAAUUUUGUUUCUCUUAAGCGGGCCACUCACGAUACUACAGCCUCGUAUGAUUUGAUCGCAUCCAACGAAAUUGAAUACAAUUUCAUCACGUAUGUCCGAUGCUUCAACGAAAUACUAUUUUGACCUCAGUCAGGCAGAUCUGACUGCUGCAGUACAACUCCGUCAAUUGGAUCGAUUUUUUAUUAUCUAACCAGUAAAUUCCUGUUGAAUUGCUUUUUGUCGUGUGUAUAAUUAUUGUGGAAAAUGUCACAUGAAAUUUACAGCGAACAAGAGUUCCUUUAGAAAGUAAAGAGUGAUGUAUGAGAACAAAAUUUUCAAGAAGUAAAUAAAGAAGCUAAUGAAGAUUUUGUGAAAAAGAAAAUUAACAAUUAUCAAUCGUCGUAUAAAAAGGAAAUAAAAUUAGAAAUAAAUUCAAUCAAAUCUGGAAAAGGGACUAAUGAUAUUUAUGAACCAAAGUUAUAGUAUUUUUGAAUUGCUGUCAUUCCUGAAUGUUCAAGAUGUACCCCGGGCAUGUGUUUCUAACCGAUCAGAUGAAGAAAAUAACAGACCCCUUCAUUGUUAAAAUAAGACACAAAUUUUGCGACCUCUAAUGCAGUGUUUCUCAACUGAAUUUACUCCAAGGACCGGUAAAAUAUUUCGGCACGUUCGCGCGGACCGGUAAUAUUAAUAAUUCGACCUAAUGCACAAUUUUUCACAAAGAUAAAUCAUGAAGACAUACAUAAUUUUUAAAGCAUUUUGUUUGUUAUAAUUUACAGUUGUAAGUAUAUUCAACUUACUUAUAAUAUUGCACCAAAACUAAAGUAAUAAAAGCACCAAAACUUAAUUAAAACUCCAAGAAAAUUCCAACAUGAAUGAUAUAUUUAUUUUUUUUAAUUAAUAUAUUAGCCAAAACAACAAUGAGUCGAAAUGUGAACAACGUAAGUAGAUACCAAAUAAGCAAAAAAUAAUUUAUCAAAAUAAAGGAUAUAUAAAAACUAAAAUUAAUGAGUUUGCUGCUGGUCUUUGUUGCUGAAUAAACUGUCAAUUCUAGGCUUUAAACCAGUUACAGCAAUACGUAAAGCAGGCGCAAGAUCAAGUAGAUUUCUAUGUUUCGUCUUAAUAACAGUCAAAGCCGAAAAUGUAGUUUCACAUAGAUAAGUUUAGGAAAAAGGCAAUAAAAUCUUCAACGCCUUUGCAUGAAGAUUGGGGUAUUCUGUUGCAGUCUUUAUCCAGAAUUGAUAUAUAUUUAUUGAAUUGAAUAGUGAUUUAAGUCCUAGAUCUGAAGACAGUUCAAUAAGUUCUGUUUCCUGGACUGUAGUGAGAUUGUUAUCAAAAUUAUAAAUAAAUGGAUUGAUUAUCCACAGAUUACCUGAACGUACAUUUUCUUCUGGGGGAUAAUACUGAUCAAAAGAUAUUGAUAGUUCUUUUAAAUGCUCCAAAAUAACGCUGAUAAAGCUCUUCUGAUCCAUGUCAGUAGUAUUAAUGUAAUCAAAGAAAAAAGCAAACAUAUCAUAAGUGUUUUCUUCCGCACGUUUAUACUAGAGUUUCAAUUUCUUUUUGAAAGCAUCCAUUUUAUUGUAGAAGUUGAAAAUUGUAUUAGUUUUACUUUGAAGACUUAAAUUUAGUUCAUUUACCAGUGAAAAUAUGUCUGAUAGGUACGAAAGCAAGGCUACCCAUUCUUUGCUCUGAAAAUGUCUGCUCAAGAAUGAUCCCUUUUGAUUUAAAAACAAUUGUACCUCAUUUCUUAAUACUUCGUACUUCGACGUGUAACAAUAGUUGUACAUGCUCUGAUCCCACUUCUUGACAUAAAGUUGUAAACAAUCUUGAAUUAAGUGCGUUACUUCUGAUUUUCUUCCAACAUUUUGGUCUGACGUGAGUGUGUGCUCGCCCAAUUUUCAAUCAAAUUGUACAACACCGUCAUACGACUAACAAUGCAAACGAUACAUCGAUGUUUGUAAAACAUCGAGGUAUCGUUCAUAAACAUCGAUGUUUUGGUGAACGAUAUAUCGUCGAUACAUCGUUCGUUUCAUUCACAAACAUCAACAUCGCUCUUCAGUCUGUUCCGACUGUUCCAUGGUCUUGCAUACAGGUCUGGAAACGAAGGUGGUAGGGGACGAAC